CUGACAGCUGUCCUUCAUGACAACAGAAGCCACAGAAAUCCUCCUCAUCAAAAACAUGACUUUGAUCUCCGUCCUCAUCUGGACUCUCCUCUGCUUCACUCAGGGGUCUGUUGGACAAAAUGUUGUUGUGACUCAGCCUGCAGCCAAAUCAGUGCAGCUCGGUCAAACUGCCUCUAUUGACUGUAAAGUUAAUAGACAAGUUACUCACUUAUAUGGUUCAAAAUACUAUCUGGCCUGGUACCAACAGAAAACUGGAGAAGCUCCUAAACUUCUCAUUUACUAUGCUACCACUCUAGAAUCAGGGAUUCCAGAUCGUUUUUCAGGUAGUGGAUCAAACUCUGACUUCACUCUGACCAUCAGUGGAGUUCAGGCUGAAGAUGCAGCAGUUUAUUACUGUCAGAGUACACACAGUGGAGGUGUGUUCACACAGUGAAAAAGCGUCGUACAAAAACCUCCCUCAGUCAGACUGAACAGAAACUGAACUGACUGCUGCAGCUGGAAGCUACUGCAGAGACUGAUACAGUUCACUGAACACACACACACACACACAC